rnacentral:lncRNA from 1 species
UAAAAUCUUCAAAAGUUGAUUGGUUAAGGGAUUUUUCAAAUUUAAAUGGUUGAUUGGUUAAAAGAUUUUUUUUUUAAUUUAAAUCGUUGAUUGGUUGAGAGAUUUUUUUUGUUUUUUCAAAUUUAAAUGGCCGAUAAUUGGUUGCUUUUUUAUGCGCGAUGAAUUUAUUAUUUUUGAACGAAAAUCGCUGGAUAAAAGAUUUAAAACUAAAUUAAUUUUAUAAGGUGGAAUGUGUAUUUAUAAAACUGUGGUAUACGCUUUGGUAAACUGAACGGUACGAGAAUAAAAGCAGUUUUUCGGUAAAAAUUCGUUCCUGUCAAUAAAUCAUUAUUCGGUAGAGAAGUGUUUUAAUCCUUUACCCGAGAAAACGUUCAUUAAACACUCCAGUGAUAAUUUUCUCCGAUAUCUCAUAUUGCCAACGGACAAAAGAGAUACCAGAUUAUUAAGAAAUGUAUCUUAACAACAAGCUGUCAAGGUUAAAUUUAAUUUCCCAAGUUACUUCAAUCAAUACAUGCCACUGUUUACUCAAUACAUUGAUUUUUGUAGCUCGAAGCGUAAUAUUGAGCCCCCUUUUGCUGCUUUCAAGUAUUAUGAAAUGCAUAUCCUUUACACGAUUUUAUUACAUUUUGACUGUAAACGGUUUUCGCCUUUUCACCAUCUCUUUGCCUUCAUUAAUACUUAAGGAAUAAUACCCAAAAGCUUUAUAAAAAUUCCUUCCUUUUCAUUAUAUGUAGAUUUUCUCUUAGACUGCAGUCAAUAUUUAUGGAUUUUAAUAUUUAUGAGGCCUUAUAUUAAUUUUUGGGAUUUUUACAAAAAUUCGAAGCUUAAAGCUGGAGUCUAAAAAUGCUUAUAUGUCGUAUAGGUGGAAGGCUAAAAAUUGUUUUUUAUCGCUCACACUCUCCAGAAGAGAAGUCGCCUUGCUAAAACAGCCGAAUUUUUGCCGUUUUUUUUUUGUUUCGGAAUUUUAUAUUUGCAUAACGCCUUAGCUUAUAUUAAUUUCGGCAUUUUUGACUUUCGUGUUUUGCUAUUUAAAAAUUUAUUUCUACUGCGAUAAGUUUAACGAAAUUUCGGACGAAUCUAAUAAUAUAAUUUCGACGAUAGGAAAGUUAAAGAAAAAAUAAAGAAAACUGUGCC